rnacentral:rRNA from 1 species
CUACGGGGUGCUGCAGUAAGGAAUAUUGCGCAAUGGACGAAAGUCUGACGCAGCGACGCCGCGUGGGGGAUGAAGGUCUUCGGAUUGUAAACCCCUUUCGGCAGGGAAGAUGGAAUGGGGUAACCCAUUUGGACGGUACCUGCAGAAGCAGCCACGGCUAACUUCGUGCCAGCAGCCGCGGUAAUACGAAGGUGGCAAGCGUUGUUCGGAUUCACUGGGCGUACAGGGAGCGUAGGCAGUUGGGUAAGCCCUCCGUGAAAUCUCCGGGCCUAACCCGGAAAGUGCAGAGGGGACUGCUCAGCUAGAGGAUGGGAGAGGAGCGCGGAAUUCCCGGUGUAGCGGUGAAAUGCGUAGAGAUCGGGAGGAAGGCCGGUGGCGAAGGCGGCGCUCUGGAACAUUUCUGACGCUGAGGCUCGAAAGCGUGGGGAGCAAACAGGAUUAGAUACCCCAGUAGUC